AGCUUAGAUCUGUCUGUGUAUUGGCUCAGGAGCACUGUCACUCACUGUCGGGUAGCAACCUCCUCUCUAGCUUGUUCUUCCUCCUCGUCCCCACCCCUUUCACUUCUUUUUCUCCCUCUCAAUCUCUCUCCUUCUCUUUCCAGCCUGCCGCCUCCACCUCCUGGUCCCUGCUCAGGUGUCAGACACCCUAUGGGCCUGCUUUGGAGAAGGAGAAUGGCCAAGGUGGGGUGGAUAGAAACGGAAAGGCAGAGGGGAGAGAGAAGGCCUCCACACCCCGGUGCAAUCGUACACCCUCUUCUCUACUUUUGCUACUCGGCUUUCCCAGUUUGGUUGAGCCGCAGUAAGAGCAGCUAAGUGUAGAGUGUCUACAAUGUUAGAGGACUUGAUGAAACCAGAAAAAUCUCAUCACCCUAUGAUGGAGGGCCUUGCCAUAUUAACAAGGAAAUUCUUCUUCAACUUGGACUCAAAAUUGUAUUUCAUCCAUGAUAAUGGUGAACACCACUGGAAAGUAAACGUCCUCCUUUUUCAUGCCUUGUUUGAUAUUAAUAAUCAAGUCAUUGAACAAAGCUAUCUCUGAUAUUAUGUUUCAAGGAUUCUUGUACAUGUACAUGGGGACACUGUUGGAGGAGAACCUUUAAAAGCAGUAUUUUACUCAACUUAGUAAAUCCUUUUUAUGUAGUCAACAAAUUAUAAGUACAAUUGGAUCCUAUAAUCUUUACAUCUUUAUAUUGUGUGAUGGUAAACUUGUGAUCUACUGGAGUUUAUGAGUAUGAUGGUGAUGGGAAGUGUUCUACCAGCCCAGCUUUCUUGAUAAACACUAUAGGAAAGAAUAAAAAAGAAGUCAGAAGGAAAUGAUCAAGAAACACCAAGGGAAGUCAUAGUAAGCUCCUCUACAUUGUCUAGAAUUGUAGUAGAAUAUGACCAGAAGUCUGCCAACCCUUUAUGUGGGGAAAGACCAAGGUUUCAGGAAACCAACUACAUCUCCAGUGAAGGGCCUGAAAUCAGGAGGAUCUCAGCCCUGGCUUUUUGGGAGCCUUGGGGCUGGGGGGUAGAGCCAACCUUCAAUUUUGGCCCUUAUGGUACAUGAGGUCAGGCAGUGAAUACAGAGUUGAGAGCCAUUGCUGUACCCAAAUAGGAAUUACUACAGGUCCUGGAGGAAGCCUGAGACCAUUAAAAUCUCAGACAUUUGCAUGGCGUCUGUCAAAGUAAUAGCAGGGAACAAAGCAAACUCCCUAUUGGUGAUUGUCUAAGGAGAAGACAGAGAUGGGGCCAAAACCAGUACCCAUUUCAGCUAUCAGAAGACAGAGGAAGAAGCUAGGCACUGAGACAAAACCAUCUUACCCAGAAUAGCAGUGGCAGUGUCACCUAGACUUCAGAGGGAACAGAAUAAGGCAAGGGCCUCCCACUCCAUUCAAGAGUAUGGGAGAGGGUAAAUAGAGUAUGGCCUCUGUGCAAAGUCCCAAUCUAAUAACUGAGAUUAGAGACAUGAAUAAAAAGAGAACUCUGAAUACAAUUAAGAAAUGUUAUGGGCUAAAAGUACCCCGGGAGGAAAACUCAGAAGAAGAGAGUAACUCCAUAAUAAGUACAAAGAAAAUGUGGGACGAGGUAGAGAUAACUUUGUCUAAAAGUGGAUAGAAGAAAUGAAGCAAAGGUUUAAAAAAAAAAGAAGCUUUUGAGGAAAAAAUAUUCAAAGGACAAUAAAUAACAACACAGAAUGGGGAAAACCUCACUCAAGUAGUGGAGUACUGGAAAAAUAGAAUGGAGCAAUUAAACAUUAAGAAAUAUUAGAACAAAGUCAAAAGAUGAAAAAUCUAAAAAACAUAGAAUGUAUCCAUCGUAAAAAUUUAAAAAAAAAAUUGGCCAGAAAAAAAAGGUGGAGAAAAUCUACUAUUACAGUUACCAAACUCACUGAAAAUCAGGACCAUGUCAAAAAAAAAAAACCCCACAAAAUUCACAUUUCAAAAAAUAGUAAAAUUGUCUAGUUCUAUUAGCACCAGAGGACAAAAUGAAAAACAGAAAGAAUCCUCAAAUCAUCACCUUAAAGAAACAUCAGUCUCUGGGUAUCAAAAUAUCCAAGGAUUUCAUCUCACCUUAGUAAAUUGGUAAAAAUGACAAAAAAUAGCAAUAAUCAAUGUUGGAGGGGUUGUGAUAUGAUAGGCACACUGAUGCAUUGUUGGUGGAGUUGUGAAUUGGUAUAAAUGUUUUGGAAAGAAAUGUGAAAGUAUGCAAAUAAAAUGACUAAAAUAUCCA